GUAGUAAUCACCUUGAAGGCUACGUAGUAAUCACCUUGAAGGUACUCAAAUAAUCUCGUCACCUUCUGCCAGUAGUCAAACACAAUGUACGCUAACAUAAACCAAAACAACAAUACAAUAAAGACACAAGCCCAAAAUCAUCAAUACACCUAUGCCAAAUAUUUGUAGAUUAAACUCCAAUUCAAAUUACCCGCAAUAUUUUUAGAAUACCAAUGUAGUAAUUAAAAUUAAUUUGGCUACACGAUCCACUUCUGGUGUCACGCUUCAAUGCCAUGAAUGGUGGAAUUAACCCGAUAAAUGCGAUAUCAAUUUACACAAUCCCCAAUUAUAUGCCCCUAAACAUCGUAUAAAGUAUGAAGCAAAUUAUGGAAGAGAAAUGAAUCAUUAAAGUUUUUGCCCAGGAAAUUGCCGGUGAAGAGGUCAUCGAUGACGCCACUCCGACGGCAAUAUUCAUGUUAUCGGCCUCCGAGCCCUCCCUAUUCAAAUAACUCUUACCCUCAGAAUCCUUGGCCUCCCAUGAAGACUAUUGGGAUAAUUUCUUUCUCUUUGUUUGAAUUUGCAUACUAAAUCUGGACACUACUUGAACAUAAAAUUGAAAUCAAAUUACAGGGUUUCUUAAGGGAAACUGGGAUUUGCU
rnacentral:lncRNA from 1 species